rnacentral:rRNA from 1 species
GAUGAACGCUGACAGAAUGCUUAACACAUGCAAGUCGACUCGAGUCUUCGGACUUGGGUGGCGCACGGGUGAGUAACGCGUAAAGAACUUGCCUCUUAGACCGGGACAACAUCUGGAAAAGAAUGCUAAUACCGCAUGACAUAUGAUUGUCGCAUGGCAGACAUAUCAAAGAUUUAUCGCUUGAAGAUGGACUCGCGUCCGAUUAGUUAGUUGGUGAGGUAACGGCCCACCAAGACCGCGAUCGGUAGCCGGACUGAGAGGUUGAACGGCCACAUUGGGACUGAGACACGGCCCAG